rnacentral:rRNA from 1 species
AGCGUUUUCGGUGGCAGCCUGGGUAUAAAUCCUUUGGAAUAGGGUAUCAUAGAGGGUGAGAAUCCCGUCUUUGACUCAGUGCAUGCUACUAUGUGAUACGUUUUCAAA